CGAAUGGGGAGAUUCAUCGUCAGCUCAUUUUGUAUAUGUAUAAGUUAUGAUGCGGGUUACUACUUGUAGUAUUGCCUGCACAUUCUUGUAUAUUUAGUUGCAAGAUGUUGUCGGCGUGCACUUCUCCCCUAGUAGGACGUCGCGACCUGUUGGGUGUCGGUCUACGGCCCAAGUGAUAGCCUUUAAUGUAAUUUAAAAAACAUUGAAGACCCUUGGUGUUUUCUGACCGGCUACUUGCCAGUAUUCGUACGGUAUUUAGCCGCUAAAUUUAUUAAGCGUCCAUAUCCAUCCCAAGCGAGGCUAAUUUACUGAUAGUACGGACCUAGUGCCGUCGUUGGUAUUGGCCAGCUGUUGGUUGAUGGUAUUCUAGGAC
rnacentral:rRNA from 1 species